ACGCUGGCGGUAGGCCUAACACAUGCAAGUCGAGCGGUAGAGAGAAGCUUGCCUCUCUUGAGAGCGGCGGACGGGUGAGUAAUGCCUAGGAAUCUGCCUGGUAGUGGGGGAUAACGUUCGGAAACGGACGCUAAUACCGCAUACGUCCUACGGGAGAAAGCAGGGGACCUUCGGGCCUUGCGCUAUCAGAUGAGCCUAGGUCGGAUUAGCUAGUUGGUGGGGUAAUGGCUCACCAAGGCGACGAUCCGUAACUGGUCUGAGAGGAUGAUCAGUCACACUGGAACUGAGACACGGUCCAGACUCCUACGGGAGGCAGCAGUGGGGAAUAUUGGACAAUGGGCGAAAGCCUGAUCCAGCCAUGCCGCGUGUGUGAAGAAGGUCUUCGGAUUGUAAAGCACUUUAAGUUGGGAGGAAGGGUUGUAGAUUAAUACUCUGUAAUUUUGACGUUACCGACAGAAUAAGCACCGGCUAACUCUGUGCCAGCAGCCGCGGUAAUACAGAGGGUGCAAGCGUUAAUCGGAAUUACUGGGCGUAAAGCGCGCGUAGGUGGUUAGUUAAGUUGGAUGUGAAAUCCCCGGGCUCAACCUGGGAACUGCAUUCAAAACUGACUGACUAGAGUAUGGUAGAGGGUGGUGGAAUUUCCUGUGUAGCGGUGAAAUGCGUAGAUAUAGGAAGGAACACCAGUGGCGAAGGCGACCACCUGGACUGAUACUGACACUGAGGUGCGAAAGCGUGGGGAGCAAACAGGAUUAGAUACCCU
rnacentral:rRNA from 1 species